GGAAGAUGCCCGAGCAAAUGUUAUUAAGAUGCAUAAAUCAUGAUCAAGAGUUCUUUAUGCAAUACUGGUAUAAUAUGACUCUUUCUUUACAAUAUCUGCAAAAUGUGGUGUUGUAUCAUACGACUUUUUCUCUACAGUAUGUAUAAAAAUAAUACACAAAAGUGGUGCCUUUCCAGCAAUCAAUCCAGAGCCUCAUUUACAACAUUUUUUCAGCUUGCCUCUUGUUCUACCACAAGGUUGUAUCAUUACUGAUAUCUGAUAUAAAACCUUUGAUGAUAGAGAAGGAGUUCUCUAAGCACGGGCCCGACGUUGUAUUGCAAUAUAUACAAGUUUUAAGUAGCAUUUUUAAUGCAUAAAAAUAGAAAUUCUCCUCAGCUGAAUGCAGGAGAACCAAAGAAAGCGGACUCCGCGCAGAAAGCAAAAUAGCACCGAAUAUACUGAUUGAAACUCGACGGUCCACAUUGCACAAUGCUAUUACUAAUCUUACAUCCUCCAAGGGGACCAAGAACCAAGAAUAUAUUAUCUCUUCACGCCUGCAGAGAUUAAGAAAUUAUUUUGAAAACAGUUACAUCGAGUUUAUUACUAAAAGCAAGCACAAUAGAGUGCCACUAGGCAAUAUGUACAAUGUUUAACAAAUAGAUUCCAGUUUAUAUAGUGAGGCUCUAAACUACUCAUAGAUCCUAUUUAAAUAUCGAACAACGCCUUGUUCAGAUGAAGAUGUAGCAGAAUGCAAUGAAGGAGGACAUAGCCCCUCAAAAAUGUUUAUGAAGGGGAUGCGAUGAUAGAGAUCUGAAGCCAACUUUGGCUGGUUAAUCCGAUGAGUUCAUCGACAAUAUAGUCCUAAUUAGGGGUGUACAUAUGUCGGGUUGGUUCGGAUUUUACAAUUACCAAACCAAACAAAUUGUAUCGGUUUUUAAAUCUAUAGGCCAAACCAAACCAACAAAAGUCGAGUUUUUCAAUAUCGGAUUUUCUCGGGUUUUUCGGGGGUUUUUUUCGAUAAACUUGUGCUCCAAAUAUUUCUAUAGUCCUAAAUACAAUUUUAUCAAUAACAACCAUGUUUUUAUUUUUUAGCAUUGACCCCAACUAUGCUAGUCAAUAGUUUGUAUGGUUCCACUUUAUAAAGGUCUCUACUUUAUAAAUUAUUUUCCACUUUACACCAAAAUACUAAUAAAAGCUUAAAGCAAUUGACCUGUCCAACUUCAAUUGAACCUUAGAUAAAUAAUUAGAAAGAGCAGGUUGGAGUAUCAUGGACAAAUCAAUUGCUUUAAGUAUUGUAAAAAGUCUAAUUUCUUCAACUAUCAAAUCAACCAAACCUUUGAGAAAUAAUGUAAUACAAAAGCUUCUUAAUCGAUUAAAAACCAUGCAUCAACUUUCUUUUAAUUAAUUACCUUAAAGUAGUAAAAAUUUCAAAAAUAAUCAUGAAGUAAAUUGUAGUUAACUAUCCCUCUAAUCAAUCCUCAAAGGUGAGUCUGCAUAUUCCGAAAGAAAAGAAACAAUUAACAUAUUUAAUAUUAAAUAAUAUAAAAAAAAUAACUAUACUCAUUAACAAUUGAAUAUAAAUUAUUACCUUCUUCAACUUGCUCAAUUUUCUGGACUUCCUCUAACAUGUCUUCAAACUUAUAUUCCUUGGAAAUACAUCAAUGUAAGAAAUUAUGUAAGAAAUACAUCACUCUUAAUUUUACAUAGUCCAUAUUAUUUAACCAAAUGAUUCGAAAUAUAAGUAAAAAAGUUUCAAUAUCUUUUUAAGUAACAGUCAAUUACUCAUGUUAAUCAUCUAAGAGAAACAAAAUAAACAAAUGAAUUCGAUAAUAGGGAGGAAUACAACAGAUUUACAAAAAAACUCGCUAAUCGAAAAAAGAAAAAUAUUAGUUAAUUGAGAAAAAGUAAGGCGUAUGUAUGCAGCUAAAAGAUAACAUGUAAAAUGAGAAAGGGAAGAGCCUUACCAAUGAGAGCAAAAGAGAGUUGAUAUGGUUUGAGCUAAUUGGGCGUUUUAGAAUGGAACUAUAGGGUUUCUUGCUUUUGGAGAAGAGGCAAAAUGAUUUCAAUUGUUUAAGUGUUUUAGAACAGCUU
rnacentral:lncRNA from 1 species